UCCUGAAUCAGCCUGCCUUCCUUGGGACCGAGGCCUAGACACUCCCAUCCCUGCCUGUGCCAUCACCUUCAUAUGGAGGCUAUCUUUGAAGUGCCCGUGGCCAGCUGUGACUGGCCCUACCCACAGGCCACCACGCCCAGCUGCCCAGAGGAAUGGAAUCACAGCCAGUGGCUGGGCAGCUGAGAGUAGCUGUGCCCAUGGCAACGGUCAUCUGAGAUGAGCUUCCUCUCCACCUGGCCUCAGGUUUCUGGCCCAGAGAGAAUUCCAGAAGAGCCUCAUUGAAGGUCCCUGGCAGGGUGGGGCCCUGCUGUCUGGGACAAAAGCUUGCUAUUCUCGGGACCAGGGUGGACAGAGCACUGAUUGUCUGCAGCCUCUUUGUGUGCAGUCUCUGUGGCUUCUUGGUAAAUGGAAGAUGUGAUUUCAUGGGGAACCUGGGAGACCAUCAGACCCUGUCUCCUCCCUGCUGUGUGACUGUGGGGAGGUUCCUUCACCUCUCUGGGCGUGCUUCCUCUUGUGCAGCUGGAUAGAGCUCAUGAAGGCAGAGCCCUACACAGUGCCUCUGGCACACAGCAAGCAGUGCAUAAAUGCAUACUUGUUAGCCCUGGUGCUUCCCCUACCCUUUCCUCCCUAGUUUCCUGUGUUUUUCCUUCUUUUCGUCAUGAUUUGAGCCCCUGUGUGGCAUUCACUGGGGAAAGAGCAAAGAAGGCAGACCAGAAUGUCUCUCCAUAUCUCCCACCCCACGCCUAUCCCUGAUCUCAUCCUAGGGGGUGUGAACAGGGACCCCCCUCGGUGGGUCCUGAGGCACACAGGACAGUGGGAAGCGGUUGCUUAGUGGCUGAAAGGUGCAGUUGGAAUUCAGAAUAUCCUGGAUUUGAAUCCUGAUGGCACCAUUGGCAGGUAUCUAUCUCCUCGGGUAAAAGGCUUUCACUGUGUGUGGAGCCUCAGUCUGUCGGUCUGCAAAAGGUAGGGGAGAAGACCUGCCCAUGGGAGGGGUGGUUGAGAUGAAGAUGAUGGGGAGGAGGGAAGAGGGGCUGAGAGGCUGGUGCAGGAGGGGCUGAGAGGCUGGGAUUUGCAGGGGUCCAACCCCACAUGGUGGCCUUGGCUACAUCCAUACCUCAGAGACCCAUUCCAGGCCCCCAGGGACCCCGACAUUAACUCUUGGCCUAAACCAACCCCCAGCUGGG
rnacentral:lncRNA from 1 species